CUCAAGCCAAAUGCAUAGGGGAUGGCUUACUUGGAGCGACGGCAAGAAAAGCUAUUUCAAUAGUAACGGAUGUGCAUUGGCCGGAUGGCAAUCUCUUGCUGGGAAACGAUACUAUUUCGAUCCCUCGACUUACAAAACCUCUGGCCCUGAAGGUCAGAGUUCUGGGGACGGGAGCAGAACAGUUUAUUGGGUGGCUAACGGAGAGGUUUAUCAUACAACAAGAGAUUGCGUGUCCCUGAAACGCUCUACCAACAUAAAAAGUGGCACCAUUGCUCAAUCUGGCAAGAAGCGUGUUUGCAGCAACUGCGGUUAAAAUUUCAGAUGUUAAAGAGCUAGUUUUCAGCAUGGCGGGUGCGAAUUGGGCGGCUGAGUGCAGUUCAAUAUCGCAUCCGCUUCGAGCAUCAAAACUCCCCAGUGUCCUCUGAUCCACCUCAUCACGGGUCGUUCCAAAAGCCGAAUUCUUGCGAGGUCGAUGGCCAUGCCCACGGCGUAUGUCGCGACACCCGACAGCACGCCUACGGCCAGGAUCGCUGCCGGCCCCAGGGCGUACACCCAUGCCAGAUGCGGCCACAGCCAGGCGCGCAUGAUGGGGUUGUCGUGGAUGAGGUAGACGCCGAGUGCUCCUUUCGCCGCGGUGUUCACCCAGCGGAUGGGCGGCAUUUUCCACUCGGCAAACAGGUUGAAAAGGCCUAGCGACGCGGCGAAGGUCGGCACCAUGUAUUGCCAGAUGAAGUAGUCGGGCAUCACGUAGUCGAACCCGAAGGCGCGCUGCGCCCAGCCGAUCGCGGCCAUCGAAGCCCAUACGAACAACAUGCCGGCCGCGAGGGCGCAGGCAUUGCCGCGACGCUUCCAUAGCGGGCGGUCGCGCAGCCAGCCGCCCAUGAGGUACAGGUAGAAGAACCACACGAGGUCGCUGCCGAUGGGAUUGUAGGUGGUGAUUGUCGGAAUAGCGGAUAGCACUACGAAGCCGAUGACCAUGAGACUUCUGCGUCCACUGUCGCCCAGAUUCCGGUACAGAACGUUGAGGAACGGGCUCGCCACCAUGAGCGCCAGAUAGCACGUGAUGAACCAGUACUCUCCCGAGGUGAUGGGCGUCACGGCCUCGCGCAGCCGUUCGGGCGUGACGAGGUCGGGCUGGGCGAUGGCGGAUAUCGCGAGAAUCGCGAAUGAGUAGAACCAGGUCUGUAGCAUCACGCGCAGCAGCGACUGCACCUUUAAGUGCCCGUGCACCAUGAAGUACCCCGUGAUGAGUACGAAGCAGUUCACGCCGAGCUUGCCGCCGAAGCUCAGCAUUUCCACGGCUGUAUCAGAGGCGAGCGGGCCACCUUCCGGCCAGGUGCCGUGCACGCUGAAAUGGAACAGGACGAUGAGCACCAUACUCACGAUGCGCAGAAGUUCGAUGUUUGCGUUACGCAUAGGUCUCCUUGGGCGGUUUUGCCGGCGAGGCGAAGUAUAAUCGAGCGAGUCAUCGUAUCCAAUGCCCUCGGGGCUUAAGGUCUCGGGCUUGCAGAAAGGACGUUUCAUGAUCGAUCGCAAGGCAUUUCGCUCCCUGUCUUCGGGGCUCUACCUCAUCACGGCCAAGGCGGGUGACGCGCGCUGCGGCUGCGUGGUGAACACGCUCGUGCAGGUGGCAAGCGAGCCGGCCACGCUGUCGGUGUCGCUGAACAAGGAGAACGCCACCACUGCCGCCAUCCUGGAGUCGGGCCGUUUCGCCGCCACGGUGCUCGCCGAGGACACCCCCAUGGAGCUCAUCGGCACCUUCGGCUUCCACACCUCUGCCGACACUGACAAGUUCGCCGCCUGCGCGAGCGCCCUCGACGGCGCGGAGGUGCCCUACGUGACCGAGCACGGCCUGGCGCGCUUCUCCGUCUCCGUCACCGAGACCAUCGAUGUGGGCAGCCACUACCUGUUCGUGGGCGUUGUGGAAGAGGCCGAGGUGCUUUCCGCUGGCGAUCCGCUCACCUACGCCUACUACCACGCCGUGAAGGGCGGCAAGACUCCGCCCAAAGCCGCUACCUACAACAACGGCGACGAGGCGACCUUGGAAUACCGCCCUCGUCGUGCCGGCUGCCUAACGCGCGGCCGUGAUCCGGCGCGCGGACCGUGCCAGGCGGGUAGUUUGACUGGGGCGGUCGCCUCCCAAAACGUAACGGAGGCGCGCGAAAGGUCCGCUCAGGACGGUCGGCAACCGUCCCGAGAGCGCAAGAGUGCAAGCGGGCUUGACUGCGAGAGAGACACCUCGAGCAGGGACGAAAGUCGGUUCUAGUGAUCCGGCGGCACAGAGUGGAAUGGCCGUCGCUCAACGGAUAAAAGGUACUCCGGGGAUAACAGGCUGAUCUUGCCCAAGAGUCCACAUCGACGGCAAGGUUUGGCACCUCGAUGUCGGCUCAUCGCAUCCUGGGGCUGGAGCAGGUCCCAAGGGUACGGCUGUUCGCCGUUUAAAGCGGUACGCGAGCUGGGUUCAGAACGUCGUGAGACAGUUCGGUCCCUAUCCUCCGUGGGCGCAAGAGAAUUGAGAGGAUCUGUCCCUAGUACGAGAGGACCGGGAUGGACGCACCUCUGGUGCCGCAGUUGUCGACCAACGGCACAGCUGCCUAGCUACGUGCGGAACGGAUAACCGCUGAAAGCAUCUAAGCGGGAAGCCGGCCUCGAGAUGAGUUCUCUCUUCGGUAAGGCCACUUGUAGACCACAAGUUCGAUAGGCCGCAGCUGCAAGCCCCGCGAGGGGCUCAGGCGAGCGGUACUAAUCGGCCGAGCUCUUCAUCU
rnacentral:rRNA from 1 species